CAUGCGGAAGCUUACACAUGCAAGUCGAACGGUCUCUUCGGAGAUAGUGCGCGGACGGGUGAGUAACGCGUGAGAAUCUAGCUUCAGGUCGGGGACAACCACUGGAAACGGUGGCUAAUACCGGAUGUGCCGAAAGGUGAAAGAUUUAUUGCCUGAAGAUGAGCUCGCGUCUGAUUAGCUAGUUGGUGUGGUAAGAGCGCACCAAGGCGACGAUCAGUAGCUGGUCUGAGAGGAUGAUCAGCCACACUGGGACUGAGACACGGCCCAGACUCCUACGGGAGGCAGCAGUGGGGAAUUUUCCGCAAUGGGCGAAAGCCUGACGGAGCAAUACCGCGUGAGGGAGGAAGGCUCUUGGGUUGUAAACCUCUUUUCUCAGGGAAUAAAAAAAUGAAGGUACCUGAGGAAUAAGCAUCGGCUAACUCCGUGCCAGCAGCCGCGGUAAUACGGAGGAUGCAAGCGUUAUCCGGAAUGAUUGGGCGUAAAGCGUCCGCAGGUGGCACUGUAAGUCUGCUGUUAAAGAGCAAGGCUCAACCUUGUAAAGGCAGUGGAAACUACAGAGCUAGAGUACGUUCGGGGCAGAGGGAAUUCCUGGUGUAGCGGUGAAAUGCGUAGAAAUA
rnacentral:rRNA from 1 species